rnacentral:rRNA from 1 species
AAACUCUGGAGAAGGAACUCGGCAAAUUGACACCGUAACUUCGGAAGAAGGUGUGCCUUUAGUAGGUGAUCCAUUUACUUGGUGAGCCCAAUGAGGCCGCAGAGAAUCGGUGGCUGCAACUGUUUAUUAAAAACACAGCACUCUGCAAAGACGAAAGUCGACGUAUAGGGUGUGACGCCUGCCCGGUGCUGGAAGAUUAAAUGAUGGGGUGCAAGCUCUUGACUGAAGUCCCAGUAAACGGCGGCCGUAACGAUAACGGUCCUAAGGUAGCGAAAUUCCUUGUCGGGUAAGUUCCGACCUGCACGAAUGGCGUAAUGAUGGCCACACUGUCUCCUCCAGAGACUCAGCGAAGUUGAAAUGUUUGUGAUGAUGCAAUCUCCCCGCGGAAAGACGGAAAGACCCCAUGAACCUUUACUGUAGCUUUACAUUGGACUUUGAACAGAUCUGUGUAGGAUAGGUGGGAGGCUUUGAAGCGGUGCCGCUAGGUGUCGUGGAGCCAACGUUGAAAUACCACCCUGGUGUGUUUGAGGUUCUAACCUUGGCCCGUUAUCCGGGUUGGGGACAGUGUAUGGUGGGCAGUUUGACUGGGGCGGUCUCCUCCCAAAGCGUAACGGAGGAGUUCGAAGGUACGCUAGCCACGGUCGGAAAUCGUGGUGAUAGUGCAUUGGCAUAAGCGUGCUUGACUGCGAGACUGACAAGUCGAGCAGGUACGAAAGUAGGACAAAGUGAUCCGGUGGUUCUGUAUGGAAGGGCCAUCGCUCAACGGAUAAAAGGUACUCUGGGGAUAACAGGCUGAUACCGCCCAAGAGUUCAUAUCGACGGCGGUGUUUGGCACCUCGAUGUCGGCUCAUCUCAUCCUGGGGCUGUAGCCGGUCCCAAGGGUAUGGCUGUUCGCCAUUUAAAGAGGUACGCGAGCUGGGUUUAAAACGUCGUGAGACAGUUUGGUCCCUAUCUUCCGUGGGCGCUGCAAGAUUGAGAGAGCCUGCUCCUAGUACGAGAGGACCGGAGUGGACGCACCUCUGGUGUAUCGGUUGUCACGCCAGUGGCAUUGCCGAGUAGCUAAGUGCGGAAGAGAUAACCGCUGAAAGCAUCUAAGCGGGAAACUCGUCUCAAGAUGAGUCUUGCCGGGGCCUUGAGCCCCCUGAAGGGUCGUUCGAGACCAGGACGUUGAUAGGCUGGGUGUGGAAGCGCAGUAAUGCGUUAAGCUAACCAGUACUAAUUGCCCGUGAGGCUUGACU